rnacentral:rRNA from 1 species
UUUUUUUUUUCCCCGGAACUAGCAUAUCAAUAAGGCSRGRARARARACUAACAAGGAUUCGCCCUAGUAACUGCGAGUGAAGCGGGAUAAGCUCAAAUUUAAAAUCUGGUAGCUUCGCUGCCCGAGUUGUAAUCUGGAGAAGUGCUUUCCGUGCUGGACCGUGUACAAGUCUCUUGGAACAGAGCGUCAUAGAGGGUGAGAAUCCCGUCUUUGACACGGACUACCAGUGCUUUGUGAUGCGCUCUCAAAGAGUCGAGUUGUUUGGGAAUGCAGCUCAAAAUGGGUGGUAAAUUCCAUCUAAAGCUAAAUAUUGGCGAGAGACCGAUAGCGAACAAGUACCGUGAGGGAAAGAUGAAAAGAACUUUGGAAAGAGAGUUAAACAGUACGUGAAAUUGCUGAAAGGGAAACGCUUGAAGUCAGUCGCGUUGGCCGGAACUCAGCCUGGCUUUUGCUUGGUGCAUUUUCUGGUCGACGGGUCAGCAUCAGUUUUGACUGUCGGAUAAUGGUCGGGGGAAUGUGGCAUCUUCGGAUGUGUUAUAGCCCUCGGUCGCAUACGAUGGUUGGGACUGAGGAUCUCAGCACACCUUUAUGGUCGGGGUUCGCCCACGUUUGUGCUUAGGAUGCUGGCAUAAUGGCUUUAAACGACCCGUCUUGAAACACGGACCAAGGAGUCUAACAUGCGUGCGAGUGUUUGGGUGUAAAACCCGAGCGCGUAAUGAAAGUGAAAGUUGAGAUCCCUGUCGYGGGGAGCAUCGACGCCCGGACCAGACCUUCUGUGACGGCUCUGCGGUGGAGCAUGUAUGUUGGGACCCGAAAGAUGGUGAACUAUGCCUGAAUAGGGUGAAGCCAGAGGAAACUCUGGUGGAGGCUCGUAGCGAUUCUGACGUGCAAAUCGAUCGUCAAAUUUGGGUAUAGGGGCGAAAGACUAAUCGAACCAUCUWGUWGSYSGUUCCUGCGAGCUUCUCUCCCGGAGAUAUAGAA